UACGAAGGGGGCUAGCGUUGCUCGGAAUUACUGGGCGUAAAGGGCGCGUAGGCGGACGUUUAAGUCGGGGGUGAAAGCCCGGGGCUCAACCUCGGAAUUGCCUUCGAUACUGGACGUCUUGAGUACGGGAGAGGUGAGCGGAACUCCGAGUGUAGAGGUGAAAUUCGUAGAUAUUCGGAAGAACACCAGUGGCGAAGGCGACUCACUGGCCCGUUACUGACGCUGAGGCGCGAAAGCGUGGGGAGCAAACAGG
rnacentral:rRNA from 1 species